rnacentral:rRNA from 1 species
UACGAAGGGUCCAAGCGUUGUUCGGAUUUAUUGGGCGUAAAGCGCGCGCAGGUGGAUCGGUAAGUCAGAUGUGAAAUCUCAGGGCUCAACCCUGAAACUGCGUCUGAAACUGCCAGUCUAGAGUGUUGGAGGGGGUAGGGGAAUUUCACGUGUAGGGGUAAAAUCCGUAGAGAUGUGAAGGAACACCGGAGGCGAAGGCGCCUACCUGGACAACUACUGACACUGAGGCGCGAAAGCGUGGGGAGCAAACAGG